rnacentral:lncRNA from 10 species
UCCAUCAUAUCCACAAUAAUAUGAUGAGAGACUGUCAAAUAACUUGGUGAAAUCAAUGUGCAUUUUCUGGCUUACAAUCCUCCAAAGGUUCUCUAUUAAAAAAAUAUGCAUACGGUGAAUCAAUCAGAUUUCCACGCAAGGGUGCUCUGCUUGCCCCCCGAGGAAUCCUGGGCAAUCUUAUUCCCUGAAGCUCUGGCCCCUGCUGCACUAGAUCCUUGCAGCGUUGGCCUCUGGGCCCCCUCCCGCUUAGUUCCCGGAUAAAAGCAGCCCGGCCGCACCUGCCUUGCCAGUGCAAACUCUGCAAGACUCCCAACGCCAUCAGCCCUAGUCUGAUUGCAGUCGCCUGUUCACAGCCCCGAAUCAUUCACAGCGCCAAUUAGCCCGGGCUGGGUCCUCCGGCAGAGCGGGGGCGAGCGCGCGGGAGUCCAUUUCCAGCGCCCUGACGCCAGCUGAGUCCCGCGCCCGGUAACGCGGGCUUUCAAGGGCAAGGCCGCCGCCGCGUCCCUCCGUGUCAGCGCAUUUCCCUUUCUUCCCCGCUUCAAGAACAACUGAAGUGUGGGUAGGAGAGCCAUUUAGUCCCAACUAAAGACGAAAAUGUUUUUUCCUUCUGAUAAUGUUCCCUGU